GGUUGGUGUCUCUUUUAACAAAAUUAAACGGAUAUAUCUUGUAAUUGAACAAAAUAGUAAGGUGGCCAAUACCUGGGGAUAAUACGGGACGUAUUUUUUUGCUAAACCGCUUAUCAAAAAGCUGAUAAUAGAAGUAUUUCCACUGAAAUGUCAAACAUGCUAAUUGCUAACCCGUUAGCUAACAUUUUUACGACACCAAUAGUCACAUAACAUUGAUGGCUUUCACAAGGUAACACUGUUGAAGGACAAAGCUAGCCCAUUCCCCUCCACCCUUCCAGAGUCCCCAGGUCAAAAGCCUCCCGGUACCGCUUUACUGCAGGGUCUGGUCGACUGCAGGAAAACACCGGGGCAGAGUGGAACUGAGAGAGGAAGAGAAGGAGAAGAGAAGGAAGAUGGAGAUUUGAUUUCAUUAAGUAAGAACCAUGGAGACGGCACUAACCGUUGCUCUCUCAGUGGGAGGGGCUUAUCAUCUGGGGAGCCUCAACAACAUCAUGAUGCUGACAAGACAGAGAAGAGUCUCUCCAGAUCAGAAC